GAGUGGACGCACUGCCCGGGACCUUGCCCAGUUGGGACUCUAGAUUGCUGUUUUCGGGACUUCCCAGGGCCGUUCGAGUCUGGAUGCCCAGCUUACAAAGCAGUGUAUCAGAAUUACCUGUGGGGUAAACGAACAAACAGCAGCAGAAGAAGCACCAACAUGGCUGUUCCCAGACAACAGAUAAUGUGAAGGAGAAGGUCAGGAGAAGAAUGAACAGAUUAUCUUCAUGAGCAAGGAAAACUGACUUCCUUUUCUUGAAGGCAAGGCCUCUGCUGCUGGUGACAGGACAUCCAACAACUUCCAGCCCUGGCAUCUGUGCAGGCAGAAACACUCACUGCCAGGUCAGUAAAAGAAGCAGGUUCGUGGGGCUUCCCUGGUGGCGCGGUGGUUGAGAAUCUGCCUGCCAAUGCAGGGGACACGGGUUCAAGCCCUGGUCUGGGAAGAUCCCACAUGCCGCGGGGCAACUGGGCCCGUGAGCCACAACUGCUGAGCCUGCGCGUCUGGAGCCUGUGCUCCGCAACAAGAG